CCUACGGGUGGCAGCAGUGAGGAAUAUUGGUCAAUGGUCGCGAGCCUGAACCAGCCAAGUAGCGUGAAGGAUGACUGCCCUACGGGUUGUAAACUUCUUUUAUAAAGGAAUAAAGUGAGGCACGUGUGCCUUUUUGUAUGUACCUUAUGAAUAAGGAUCGGCUAACUCCGUGCCAGCAGCCGCGGUAAUACGGAGGAUUCGAGCGUUAUCCGGAUUUAUUGGGUUUAAAGGGAGCGUAGGCGGUACGUUAAGUCAGGCGUGAAAUGGCGGGGCUCAACCCCGGCACUGCGGUUGAAACUGGCAGACUUGAGUUGGCGAGACGUAUGCGGAAUGCGUGGUGUAGCGGUGAAAUGCAUAGAUAUCACGAAGAACUCCGAUUGCGAAGGCAGCGUACGGGAGCGAGACUGACGCUGAGGCUCGAAAGCGUGGGGAUCGAACAGGAUUAGAUACCCCUGUAGUC
rnacentral:rRNA from 1 species